UAAAAGCAGACAGGCUCCCCAUAAAAGGCCCCACCCAGCUCACUCAAAUGCCCCUCCCCUCAACAACAGCCAACAGCCCAGAACAGCAGGAAAACAGAACAGCUAAAAGAUCAUCUGGGAAUCCUCCCUUCCUCGUGGAGCUUUUUGAAGGGGAGUUGAAUAUUCAAUGUGAUGCUAUGAAAAAAAGAGAUGACGUUGACUCCUGAGUGUUGAACUUUUGCCCCCUCUAUAGCCUCCCUGGUGAGGCAUACCCAGAAAUGUCAACAUCUUGGCAAGUGCUCAAAUUUUUACAGCAGCGCCAGACAAUCAUGUACAGUAGCUCCAACUUACAAGAAUGGGUUUACAAGGCAGUGAUGAAAAAAGUUUAUAUGUGUGCUAAUUAAAAUAUACAAUGAUAUAUAUUUGAUACAAUUACCCAUUCAAAACUGUUACAAAAUCACUUCUCAUUGUGUUCAUUUCAAGGUUUCACAAACAUAAAACUAUCUAGUUAAUGUUUCUCGGACUAACACACUUGAGUUUCCUAUUUACUAAAGAACAGUCAUUAAGACAAAACACA
rnacentral:lncRNA from 13 species